CAAUAGCAUAUAUUAACGUUGUUGCAGUUGAAAAGCUCGUAGUUGAACUUUUGGUAGGAGCGACCUGGCCUUGGGCGCAUGCCCUUGUUUGCCGUGUGUCGUAUCUGGCCAUCCUUUUCUUCUUUUCGGAAGGAAUCUUUUACUGUGAGUAAACUGGAGUGCUCAAAACAAGACGUUUGUUUGGUACAUUAAAGCAUGGAAUAAUAAGAUAGGACCUGGUUACUAUUUUGUUGGUUUGCAUAGCUAGGUAAUGAUUAACAGGGACAGUUGGGGGUAUUCGUAUUUAAUUGUCAGAGGUGAAAUUCUUGGAUUUAUGAAAGACGAACGACUGCGAAAGCAUUUACCAAGGAUGUUUNCAUUAA
rnacentral:rRNA from 1 species